rnacentral:rRNA from 1 species
CUCCUACGGGAGGCAGCAGUGAGGAAUAUUGGUCAAUGGACGAGAGUCUGAACCAGCCAAGUAGCGUGAAGGAUGACUGCCCUAUGGGUUGUAAACUUCUUUUAUACGGGAAUAAAGUGAGGCACGUGUGCCUUUUUGUAUGUACCGUAUGAAUAAGGAUCGGCUAACUCCGUGCCAGCAGCCGCGGUAAUACGGAGGAUCCGAGCGUUAUCCGGAUUUAUUGGGUUUAAAGGGAGCGUAGGCGGACGCUUAAGUCAGUUGUGAAAGUUUGCGGCUCAACCGUAAAAUUGCAGUUGAUACUGGGUGUCUUGAGUACAGUAGAGGCAGGCGGAAUUCGUGGUGUAGCGGUGAAAUGCUUAGAUAUCACGAAGAACUCCGAUUGCGAAGGCAGCUUGCUGGACUGUAACUGACGCUGAUGCUCGAAAGUGUGGGUAUCAAACAGGAUUAGAUACCCUGGUAGUCCACACAGUAAACGAUGAAUACUCGCUGUUUGCGAUAUACAGUAAGCGGCCAAGCGAAAGCGUUAAGUAUUCCACCUGGGGAGUACGCCGGCAACGGUGAAACUCAAAGGAAUUGACGGGGGCCCGCACAAGCGGAGGAACAUGUGGUUUAAUUCGAUGAUACGCGAGGAACCUUACCCGGGCUUGAAUUGCAACUGAAUGAUGUGGAGACAUGUCAGCCGCAAGGCAGUUGUGAAGGUGCUGCAUGGUUGUCGUCAGCUCGUGCCGUGAGGUGUCGGCUUAAGUGCCAUAACGAGCGCAACCCUUAUCGAUAGUUACCAUCAGGUUAUGCUGGGGACUCUGUCGAUACUGCCGUCGUAAGAUGUGAGGAAGGUGGGGAUGACGUCAAAUCAGCACGGCCCUUACGUCCGGGGCUACACACGUGUUACAAUGGGGGGUACAGAAGGCAGCUACACGGCGACGUGAUGCUAAUCCCUAAAGCCUCUCUCAGUUCGGAUUGGAGUCUGCAACCCGACUCCAUGAAGCUGGAUUCGCUAGUAAUCGCGCAUCAGCCACGGCGCGGUGAAUACGUUCCCGGGCCUUGUACACACCGC